UACGUAGGGGGCUAGCGUUGUCCGGAAUCAUUGGGCGUAAAGCGCGUGUAGGCGGUCCGGUAAGUCCGCUGUGAAAGUCGGGGGCUCAACCCUCGGAUGCCGGUGGAUACUGGCAGUCUUGAAGUGGCUAGGGGGAGAUGGAAUUACCGGUGUAGCGGUGAAAUGCGUAGAGAUCGUAAGGAAGACCAGUGGCGAAGGCGGGUCUCUGGACAGUUCCUGACGCUGAGGCACGAAGGCCAGGGGAGCAAACGGG
rnacentral:rRNA from 1 species